rnacentral:sRNA from 1 species
CCCUGUCUUGCGUUCCUGUGUUUUCUAAUGCACGCCCGAGGUCAAAGAGACUUUGAUUUGGCAGAUGCCCUUGAUGACCCUGAACCCACCAAGAAGCCAAACUCAGUUCCAGGAUAUGAACUCUACAGCGGAAGAAUAAGAAACCGGAACUAAACUUCUCACUCAUCUGACUUCCUGCGGUUUACGACAACAGACUUUGGUUGCACCGGAAAAGAACAGAUUCUCUUCCGUCGCAGAGUUUCGCCAUGGCCCGGGGCCCCAAGAAGCACUUAAAGCGUGUUGCAGCGCCGAAGCAUUGGAUGCUUGACAAACUAACGGGUGUAUUUGCACCUCGUCCAUCGACAGGUCCCCACAAGCUGAGGGAAUGUCUUCCUCUGAUCGUCUUCCUCAGGAAUAGACUCAAGUAUGCGUUGACUGGAGAUGAGGUAAAGAAGAUAUGUAUGCAACGUUUCAUCAAAAUUGAUGGCAAGGUUCGAGUGGAUGUCACAUACCCUGCUGGAUUCAUGGAUGUCAUCAGCAUCGAGAAGACAGGUGAACAUUUCCGCCUGGUC